CGUGUAGGCGGCUUAUCAAGUCAGAUGUGAAAGCCCUCGGCUUAACCGAGGAAGUGCGUCUGAAACUGAUGAGCUUGAGUGCCGGAGAGGAUGGCGGAAUUCCGCAAGUAGAGGUGAAAUUCGUAGAUAUGCGGAGGAACACCGGUGGCGAAGGCGGCCAUCUGGACGGCAACUGACGCUGAGACGCGAAAGCGUGGGGAGCAAACAGGAUUAGAUACCCUGGUAGUCCACGCCGUAAACGAUGAGAACUAGGUGUCGUGGGUGUUGACCCCCGCGGUGCCGCAGCUAACGCAUUAAGUUCUCCGCCUGGGAAGUACGGCCGCAAGGUUAAA
rnacentral:rRNA from 1 species